rnacentral:rRNA from 1 species
AUUGAACGCUGGCGGCAGGCCUAACACAUGCAAGUCGAGCGGAUGAAGGGCGCUUGCUCCUGUAUUACGCGGCCGACGGUUGGGUAAUGCCUAGGAAUCUGCCCGGCCGUGGGGAAUAACGUCCUGACGCGGACCCUAAUACCGCAUACGUCCUGAUGGAGAACGUGGGGGUUCUUCAGACCAACAGCUAUCUGAUGAGCCUGGGUCGGAUUAGCUAGUUGGUGGGGUAAAGGCCUACCAAGGCGACGAUGCGUAACUGGCCUGAGAGGAUGAUCAGUUACACUGGAACUGAGACACGGUCCAGACUCCUACGGGAGGCAGCAGUGGGGAAUAUUGGACAAUGGGCGAAAGCCUGAUCCAGCCAGGCCGCGUGUGUGAAGAAGGUCUUCGGAUUGUAAAACGCUUUAAUUAGGGAGGAAGGGAAGUAAGAGAAAACGUGCCUGUUUUGACGUUACCAAAAGAAUAAGCACCGGCUAACUACGUG